GUUCAUUCGGAUCUAUAUAAAAAGCCACAACCAUCACUUUUUCACAUAUUCUCUCUAAACCCUAACCGACAACUUCAUCUCCUACAUCGGAUCCAUCAUGUAUUCAUCUUCUUCAUUCGUCCUGUAAAUCAAACAAUCCUUAUUUUUCCUUAAUCCUCUGCAUUCCUUCGGAUCAACAAUCAGGUAUAUUUGUAGCGAUUCAUCAUCUACUACAAUUCAAGAAGCUCGUGGCUUAGAUGACAAGAUUUAUGACUGCAAUCACCAUCUUGGCAAUCAAGAACGGUUGGGUACUUUUGAAGAUCAUGAACCAUUAAGGGGAAACAAGCACCUCCACCAUGAAAAUUGGGUCAUCAGUGUUCGAUAAUGGUGAUGACAUGUCACGCUUAUGCUGGAUUGUUGGCAACAGAUGGAGCAGAUCGCAAAGUACAUGUAUGGGAUGUUGACGAUCGUUUUUGUACACGUUCCUUUACGGGUAACAAGGGGUUAUGACAAUAGAGAUUAGGAUCAACUGGGACCUUCAAUCAAUUGGUAGGGUGUUCUCACAAAUUGCUACUGCACAGAGUGAGGUACACCUGGAUAUCUAAAAUCCACCAUAAUGAAUGGGAUGUCCUUUGUGGACAAUUGGGCCUUUGUUUGAAUGUUGCAGCUGAUUGACAAAGGUGUAUAAUGUUGCAGCUGAUUAACCUUAUCCGUCUUUGUCAUGGCUGGUGAACUAAAGAGGGAGUGUUUUAAAGUCUCUAAGGUAAUAAAGAAUCUAUCUUUCAUCCAAAAGCUAAAUCGAUGUUACAUCAGAAUUUUGCUCUAUAUUUCAUUUGAAUUCAUUAUACUACUUAUGAUAUUUGCCAAAAAAAAAAUUAUGCAAUCUUCAUAACUGCUUUGUUGGAAUGCAAUGGAAUGGGUCAAGAAAAAAAAUACUCCAGUGCAGAAGAUAGAUAAUGAGAAAAAAGAGAAAUGGAAAAGGGAGAAAGAAGUGAAGGGGGUGGUGGCCUGAGGGUCACCACCGUCACACCACCAGCACACCACCAGCAUGGUCACCAUCUCGACCGUUUCCCAUGCAAGCAAAAGAAAGAAGGGAUGGUGACUAUUAAUCUAUGAAAUCGACGGUGUUUAACAGCGGCGAGGGAUUCGAUUUGUCGUGGACUACCAAGAAUAACCGCGAUAAUUGACGAAUGAGGGUUCCGGAAGUUGUGAUGGCCGACCGACAUGAUAGUGGAGGUGAGACUUAUGCCUUUUUCUAAGGUUCAAAUGAUGGCGUGAUGGUUGAUUAGUCGUGGUGCACGCUUUCCAUAUCUGGAUCGAUUUAUAUUGAAUUUCCUCACGGAGCUUGACAGGAUUUAGUAAUUGCAUCGAAAACUGUCGCUUUUGCCGAUAGACCAUUUGGUUCAGAUUCAUGAGGUGUUAAAUGCCAUUUAAGAAAAAUAAAGUGCGUUAAUUCGAGGGAAGGCGGCUUCAAAGCAAUCCAAACCACCUCAAGUGAUGAAAAAAACUGCCAAAGUUUUGAACAACUUUGACGUGUCGACUGAGGUUAUUCCUUAACUUUUUUUGGUAGAGCUUGCAAAACCUCAAGUGAUAAUGUUUCAAAGGAUUAGCGGAUAAGUCAUAUUCAAAGAAUAAAGUUCAGGGAAGGCGGCUUCAAAGCAAUCCAAACCACCUCAAUUGAUGAUGUUUUAAAGGAUUAGCGGAUAAGUCAUAUCUCAAAGAAGAAAGUUCAGAUGAGGACUUCAGUUUUUUUUCGUUCUAAAAACAUGUUUCUUUUGUCAUUUCUGUUAAUUCAUAAUAUUAUCAUAAUGCCUUCAUCUUUUUGACACAGUGGCUCUACGUGCUUGGAUCAUAAUGGGUUCUGAUUCAGAUCUUCCAGUGAUGAAAGAAACUGCCAAAGUUUUGAACGACUUUGACAUGUCGACUAAGGUAAAUCGCGUAAUUCGGUGAAUUUAAAGUGCUUAAAGAUGAUGUGGAACGGCCGUGGAUGAUAAACAUAGCGAAAGGUGUUAGUCGGAAGAUGCUUCGGGUUAGAAAAUAUCUUGGAAUCGAGAUGAAACGAGAAGGAAUGAGGCAUAGGGACCAUUCAGUCAUUUAUUGAAAGUUGCCACAUAGCUAUGUAUGGAGUUCACAUGCACAACGUAAGCUACUCUGUAGAUCCGUAGGCUACGGAUUGGAAUGUCUGACAUCAACAGAAACAGCGAACUGUAGCUUACGGUUUAAAACGUAAGUUACAUGUAUGUAUGGCGGUGUAUCUUUUAUUGUUGAAGGGCAUUAAAAGAAAAGGAUUUAAAAAGAAAAACCCUAAAGUGGAUGCAUAACAGUGGGUGAUUGGAGGGAUUAUUAAUUUGAGAACUCACAACAUUAUCAUCAAUCACGUGGGUGGAGAAAAUAUUGAACUAGAGGGGUUUUUGGCGGCAUUUAUUGAAUGUUCAUUAUCAUCACAAGAUUAAAUUGGGUGAGAAGGAGAGAGGCAGGCAUCACGUGGAGCAUCAUAGGCUUUGGAGAUUUUUAAUCAACAUCAAUCAUCCAUCAUCAGCACACAUCACAUCUCGAUGAUCAUUAAAAAGGCAUCACAUAAGUUGACAAUUGAGAAAAGGCAUCAUGUGCACAAGGCAUCAGUUUUUAAUAAAAAUCAUCCACUAACUUGAGACAUUGGACUACGUGUGACGGCAAGGAGAAGCCCAAGAAACACUUGGGCCGCACAUGGGACUUCUUUUGUAUGCAUGGAGCCGUCCAAGACAUCACGUCACGUGGACUUCUAUUUGGGCCACGUAAGUGGGCCGACAUAUUGGAGUGUUUUUGGGCUGCGAACAUGAAUAUUGAGGAGAGGUACAAAAGUCAAAAGAGAGGAUAAUCUCGGGGAUCUUCGACGGCAGACGGCAGUUAAAGGGUUUUUCAACCCGGUAUCAAGCGAGUGAAGAUCAAUCAACCGAGAUGAGCUGCUAAAUCUCUCGUGGACACUUCGGGUGAAUGAUUCUUGUGAGACACUUUUAAUUCUAGUUUCUGUUUGUAUUGAGAUUUGGAUUUGUAGUCGGGUGACAGCCGACUAUUUACAUAAUUAUAUUAUUUGUGUG
rnacentral:lncRNA from 1 species